rnacentral:rRNA from 1 species
GACGAACCGUGCGAACGUUGUUCGGAAUCACUGGGCUUAAAGCGUGUGUAGGCGGAAUGGUAAGUACCUUGUGAAAUCCCACGGCUCAACCGUGGAACUGCUUGGUAUACUGGCUGUCUUGAGCCAGCUAGGGGCUACCGGAACAAAUGGUGGAGCGGUGAAAUGCGUAGAUAUCAUUUGGAACGCCAAUGGUGAAAACAGGUAGCUGGGGCUGUGCUGACGCUGAGACACGAAAGCCAGGGGAGCAAACGGG